AAGGAGUGUGCCCUGCUCCAUGAUUAUUUUAAUAGCUGCAGUAUCCUGACUGUGCUAAGGUAGCAUAGUAGUUUGUCUUUUGAUUGGAGGCUGGAAUAAAUGGGUUGACGACGCCAAGACUAUUUUCAUCUUACAGAGGUUGUAAAUCAGCCGUAGCAGUUAAGUUGAUUUUUGCAUCAAAAAGUGCAACUUUUUAGGAAGACGAUAAGACCCCGUAAAACUUUAUCUCUUUGGGCGGGGUUUUAUUUAGAUCUGUAGAUUCUCUUGUGGGAUUAGGCUGGGGCAGCAUCUAAUAUACUUUAAGAAGAGAAAACAUGUUUCAGUGAAAUGGGAGAUCUUUGUUAGAGUUAGAAUAAGUUACUUUGGGGAUAACAGCGUAAUUUUUUCUUAUAGCUCUUAUAGAAGGAAAAGACUUGCGACCUCGAUGUUGAAUUGGGAGGUCGGGCCUAAGCUUUAAAUGGGCCAGGAAGGUCUGUUCGACCUUUAAACUCCC
rnacentral:rRNA from 1 species